ensembl:lncRNA
UCCCAAUAUUAAGACCAUCUCUGGUGACAGUCCUCUGUGGUUCCAUAUCACUUCUCACAUGAGCUUUAAAGUGCACUUACAUAUGGAACUUGGCUGGAAGUGAUGGUUUAUGGUUUAAAAACUUUAAAAUAUUAGAAUUUUCUUACAUCACUUGUUCUAUGUAUGCGAGGUGCAUAACACAAAGGUGACAGACAAUAGAGCUCAUCUGGAUCAACCCUGGAGGUCCUGUACACAUUAUACAGAUUCACAAAAAUCUAUUAUUUUUCUUACAAUUUGAAGAAUGAAAGCCCUACAGAUCUGGGAUGGCAUGAGGGUGAGUAAAUGAUCAGAGAAUUUUUGGGUGGAUCAUUCCUUUAAAAGACAAUCAAACCUUCUGGAUGAGGAACAAUGCAACGCAUAUCUCUAUUCCCUUCGAACCUCCUUCACUCUUCCUCCCUAAAGUGGUUUAAAUCUGCUGGGCUGCAAGGGGUCAAGCAACAGAGAUGGAAGUCUUCCUGGUGAAGCACACCAACCUUUUAAAUGAAAACAAGCUCUGUGUUGUCCUGAAACAGAAUUUUCUAGUAUCCUCUGGCAGUGCAAAGUCACAGAUGCUCAUCCUUUGCCUUGAAAACAAAGUAAAGCUUAACUUUCUUCAACCCUUGCAGAAACCACUCGUUCCAGAUGUGUGGAUGGGCCGUUCUUUUAUGCCAUUAGUGCAUUAACCCCUGACCAUUUUGAAAGACCCGACCGGUUUCCUGCCCCCUCAAGGAAACAAAAACAGCUUAAAAUGCGCCAUGUGGUGUUUUCCAAAUAGGAAACUCAUCGCAGAGAUCUUCAAAGGAGUUUGCUGGAGGACUUCUGGAUUACAGCAAGUCACACAGAAGGAAGCAUCGCUGCCAAACACCCCCACAUUUGGCAGCUGAACUGUAGCCAUCCAUGGAGAUAGUAUGUGUUUGCGAACGUGUGUGUAUCCACCAAGUGCCAAUACUCGGAGAUCUGGCACAUCACCUGUUGCCGUGUGUGCGCUCGUGCUGCCGAGGGGAACCAUCGCUUGGCCAGUGUUUAUGUUUGUAUCAUUUUCCUGUCCCUGAAACAGACGGCCGUCGCCUUCUCCAGAGGAAACGCAAGCUAAAACAAAGCCAAACG